UGGACCUCAGAUCAGGCAAGAUUACCCGCUGAGUUUAAGCAUAUCACUAAG
rnacentral:rRNA from 2 species